UACAGAGGUCUCAACCGUUGUUCGGAUUCAUUGGGCGUAAAGGGUGCGUAGGCGGUCGCGCAAGUCGGAUGUAAAAUCUCAGGGCUCAACCCUGAAACUGCAUUCGAUACUGCGUGGCUAGAGUGCUGGAGAGGAGACUGGAAUUUACGGUGUAGCAGUGAAAUGCGUAGAUAUCGUAAGGAAGACCAGUGGCGAAGGCGAGUCUCUGGACAGCAACUGACGCUGAGGCACGAAGGCCAGGGGAGCAAACGGG
rnacentral:rRNA from 1 species